GCGGGUGUGGCGGAACUGGCAGACGCACCAGACUUAGGAUCUGGCGGUUUAUCCAUGCAGGUUCAAAUCCUGUCACCCGCACCA
rnacentral:tRNA from 1 species